UUACACAUUUGAAUGUAACACUUGCAACUCUAAGACAGCCUUUAAUCUCUUUUGAAGAACUAUCUGCCUUCAGAAAUAUUAUGCAAAUACACAUUCAAAUGAUAGAAACACAUGGAACCUCUAAAGGUUUUUCCUUCUUUGAAAACUACAUACAAAAUUCUGUGUUUAUAUAGCAUGAAAAGUUUGAUACACGCCAACAGGUUCCAGGGAAUUCAAAACCACGCCUCCCAUUCUGAUGAAAACUUAUACCAUUCUGCCUUUUCUCUCCCCUCCCCAAAUCUGCUUCCCAAAGUAGGAUUAGAAUGGAGCCUGACCUCAGUUUUAAUUUUAAAGUGCCUAGACAAAGUUCUGCCCUCAGUUAAUCUCCCCUUCCCCAUCCUUGAUUUCAGAGUGAUUAUGUGGGUGCAGCUGGAGCUGGCAUUUGUACAUCUCCCUGUUGUCAGUUUAUGUAAUAACGUGAGCAUUGUCUAAACAUAGGGUUUCGUAUUUAAUAAUCUCACCAGCUCAACUGUUUUUAUCUGAAUCUCCCUCCUGAACUGAUAAAACUAAAUUGCACAUUUUCUAAACCGCUUAGCUUAGGGGUAAAUCUUGCAGGUAUCCUCAAAUGACUGUCUAACGUCUUUUGCACCUGUCUAGCACCAUCUACUGUAACUUUUGUAUACUGUCUUCUCUGUCUUUCAUGAUUGCAAAUUUAUGAUUCUGGAUGGAGCCUACCCUGCUCCUGGAGUAUUCAGAGAAAAACGUAAAGUCUGCGUUCCCUUCAAAAGCCACAUGCCAUUUUGACAAUCAUAAAUACAAUGUGCACGUAUUGCAAGCUAAACUCUAUUUUUCAAAUUUAAAAUUAAUUUUACAGGAAAAAGUAUCUUAGAUUGGUUAGUUUUCUAGCAGCAAGUUGUACUCGCUAUCCACAGAGUAGAUCUCAGGAUCUCAAAUAGAGAUCAGCACCCCUUGUACACUACACAGGCUGGCUCAACUGGUCAUAGGAUUUUCAGAAAGCCUGCAAAGCAAGGUAUAAGAACAGGACCCGGUUGGGGGAAGGAAUAAUAUUGGUCUGUGGAACCUCAUAGCAGAAGAAACUAUGACUAUUGCCUUCUCUGGUAAGGACAUUGGGUCAGCUGGGAUACUUAUACCCUAAGAGGAGCUGUGGGCUAGAAGCAGAAGAGGAAGGAACUCCCCAGUGAUCUCUUUUGUAUUCAGAGCUGAUAAAGAAUUUCAUGUUGUAUAUUUUAAUUAUGCUGCAUUUUUGCAGGAGAAAGUUGCAUGGCUAAGGAGGAUAACAGAAAAAGAGCCAGGCCUUCCUGACUAGUGUGAUGAUUAUGGGUUUAUUAUUAUUAGUCGUUUUAAAGUAGCAUCAAAAGGCCAGAGCCAGGACUGGGAGCCCAUUGUGCCAGGCACUUUUGUGUUAUGCAGUUUCUUUCUAAAAAUCUGAUUAUAUAAAUAGCAUCACUUUUCUGGAUGACAGGUUGGCAACAAUAAUACUAUUCAGGCUUUUCCAGACAUGGGAUCACCUGCAUUAUUUUCUGGAUUGGUAUAACAAAGACAUCACAUGUGUAUGGCAUGUGCACUUUUCAUGAUAAAUACUGGAAAUUAUUCCUAUGAAACAAUACCGGCCUCUUUACCCAAGACAAUUCAUUUAAUUUGAUAGUGAGUAACAUACCAUUUAGUUUUCCAUGAUUAUCGUAGAGGGUGAAAAUUGAGUAGAUUUUGUGAUUCAUCUUGUAAACUGUUUUGACAGUUUUGCAAAGCUGUCACCAUGACAUCUCGUUGUGGUCCAGGUCAUGCUUCUUGAUGAUGCUCUAAAAAGGGCAAACCUAGGCUAGUGCUCCAGCCAAAUGCAUUUGUUCGAGUGCAGUGUUUUAUAUCUGCCAGGGAAUUUAUCUUAUGGUAUCAGUAUUCAGGAAGAGAAGAGAUUGAAGCCCACUCUCUCCUGGAUUACCUCACAUUUGCUAGUUUAUGACAAUGGCAUUUUUCAUUUGCACAUGUAGAAAGAAAUUAAGCCUUGUAAUAAAUGUGCAUUUCAAACCUGAUUUCAAUGUCCGCCGUCAUUGGCAGACUACAAGUGUUCAUUUUUUUUAGGCAAGGGUGCUGAAGCAAAUGAAAUAAGCCUGCCAUAAAAAUAAUUUUGUCCAGGUGGGGCAUAAAUCAGAUGAAAAAAUAUCAUUCCACAUGGCAAAUAAAAAUCAUGUGCUGUAUUAUUUAAAGCUCAGCCUCCUCAUUCGCCUACACACCACAAGUGAUAGUGUGAAGUGAAACUGAUGUAAGCAAACAAUUAAAAUACUGGAGUAAGACACGAUGCAGGAAACGAUUCAAGAAGAGCCACUUGCAGGGUCAUGGUCGCAUUCUAUUUCAAGUGGGCAUGGAAAUGCAGUGUGGAUUUUCUUCUCCAGAGAUGUGCAGAUAAUAAACAGCUGCUCCCCACAUCUACUCUUUCCUUUUAACUCUUGAUUUAUUGAAUAUUUCUGGAAACUCUGGUUAGGCUAGCAAGGAAGAAAAUGGGAUGCCUACUCAUAAGCACUGGGGUCAGAUACAAAAAUACUGAUGGGUUAUCUCCUGUGAGUCCCUUGGGGGAAACUUAUAACAAAAGCUACUUGGGUUUGUUUGUUUUUUAUUUCACACAAAUUAACGGACCAAGUAAAUGGGUAUCCCCCUUGAGAAGGUUUUAUUCUUUUCUUUUGUAAAUUAUUGCUCCACACCCAUUAAUGUCAGGAAAUAUUCCAAACUAUGUUCCCCACCUCCCCUUUGUGCUUCCCCCAAAGAUGUCCCAAACCAUGUCCAAGGUUCUGCAGCCUCUAUACAAAUGCUUCUAAAAUGGGAUCUUUUAGCUCUCAAAGCACUGAAGCAACAAACUGGAACUUUAAAAAAUGUUCUUUUAAAAUUUAUUUUCAAAAUAUAUGUACAAAAUCCAAACUUUUUCAAUCCUGUUCAUGUUGCAUUGGAGACAGUGUGCCUAAUGAACUUCUUAUCCUGAUCCAAAUUUGUCCAAGGCUCAGUCCAGUCCACUGGUCUAUUCCUAUCUCCAAACUGAAAAGAGAAAUAGCUUCAGUUCUGAGGCUGUUUCUUGACUGAUAAUAAAUUAGUGUUGAACAUAAGAGUCAUUAGAGGAUUUUGAGUCUGAGUCAUCGCAAAGAGACUCUGAACUGAUGAGAUUUUCCCAUGUAACUCAAUAAAAAUAAUUGCAUAGUGCACUUGUCCAGCGUAAAUUAUGCUCUUUCGCUAUUCUCUCAUACUUUCCUUCAAGAUGCAUGGGCAGAGCUUUGUAGUGAUGGGCUCUGGAGAUAUACGAGUCAGGAAAGAGACAGGGGUUAGCAGGAACUAAACAUCAUUGGCAAGAACAAGAAGAAAGAUUUUUUUUUUUAAUUCAAAAUGUGAAUUCAUGGGGUAAGGCUGCCUCAGAAUGAAGCUAAAAUCUGCUCUUCUCAUGUAUGGUUUUAAAUAAAAAAUGAGCGCUCACCCUAGCAACUGGAGCAAUGCACGGUUCAGUAUCUCUGUGGUGCUAAGCAGUUUAUUAACCUAGCACUAUAAAAUCACUCAGAAUGACAUUUAGGAACAUUAAACUUCAGACAUAAAUCCACCAAUGUAAGGAAAUGCAGAGUUGGGCAGCCGUUGAGCCUUUCCCUUAGCUGUGUUGUGUGCACAGACAGCAGCGCAUGUUGUGUGGGCAGUGAGCCAGAUGCACAGCAGUCUGAAGGAUUCAAGAGAAGGCAGGAGCCAAGGGCUCUUCAGUACCACUCUCCAGCUCUGCUGUUAGCUCCUGAGCGGGUCCUGAGCAGGUCAGAUUGGACCAGAUUUUAAGGUCAGGAACUGUAGCAGCAGCCACGUAAAAAUCUGACCUUGUGUAAGAGUUUCAAAUAGAAGCUGAGUUCUUGUAAAAAUCCAGCCUAAAUUGGUCCCAAGUCCUUUGAAAAUAUGGUUGUGAGCCCUCUGCAAAUACAGUCUUUAACGUCUGAUCCUGUCACUUCAAGAUACAUUAACCCUGUUUUAUUCAGGGUUUGCAGUGGUUUUGCAACACUUAUAGUGCUACAGAGGUAACAGUCAUAUCCUAACUACUGAUAUCAGCAUCAUUUGAUAUUGAUACAAUUGACAGCUUGUGAUACAUUUAACUUUAUGUGAGGAGAUUGACAUUAAGGAUUACCAAUGUGCAGGACUCCGCAGAGAAAGAUAAUUCUAUUUUGGAGGGGAUUUUGCUAUUUGAAAAAUGUAGUUUAAUUCUGAUUUGGG